rnacentral:rRNA from 1 species
GGAGUUAGCCGGUGCUUCUUCUGUGAGUGAUGUCCUUCCUGCCGGCUAUUAACCCGCAGGCCUUCUUCCUCACUGAAAGUGCUUUACAACCCGAAGGCCUUCUUCACACACGCGGCAUGGCUGGAUCAGGGUUGCCCCCAUUGUCCAAUAUUCCCCACUGCUGCCUCCCGUAGGAGUCUGGGCCGUGUCUCAGUCCCAGUGUGGCUGAUCAUCCUCUCAGACCAGCUACGGAUCGUCGCCUUGGUGAGCCGUUACCUCACCAACCAGCUAAUCCGACAUAGGCUCAUCCGAUAGCGCGAGGCCCGAAGGUCCCCCGCUUUCCCCCGUAGGGCGUAUGCGGUAUUAGCCUGGGUUUCCCCAGGUUAUCCCCCACUACCGUGCAGAUUCCUAUGCAUUACUCACCCGUCCGCCGCUCGCCACCAGGGAGCAAGCUCCCCGUGCUGCCGCUCGACUUGCAUGUGUUAGGCCUGCCGCCAGCGUUCAAUCUGAGCCAGGAUCAAACUCUGA